rnacentral:rRNA from 1 species
GCUUGUCUCAAAGAUUAAGCCAUGCAUGUCUAAGUGUAAAUAAGUCUAUACUGUGAAACUGCGAAUGGCUCAUUAAAUCAGUUAUCGUUUAUUUGAUGAUCUCUUACUACUUGGAUAACCGUAGUAAUUCUAGAGCUAAUACAUGCACAAAAUCCCGACUUACGAAGGGGUGUAUUUAUUAGAUUCAAAACCAACCGGGUAAAACCGUACCUUGGUGAUUCAUAAUAACUUUGCGAAUCGUAUGCCUCACGGCGACGAUGAAUCAUUCAAAUUUCUGCCCUAUCAACUUGGCUACCACAUCCAAGGAAGGCAGCAGG